GAUGAACGCUGGCGGCGUGCCUAAUACAUGCAAGUCGAACGCUUUGUGGUUCAACUGAUUUGAAGAGCUUGCUCAGAUAUGACGAUGGACAUUGCAAAGAGUGGCGAACGGGUGAGUAACACGUGGGAAACCUACCUCUUAGCAGGGGAUAACAUUUGGAAACAGAUGCUAAUACCGUAUAACAAUGACAACCGCAUGGUUGUUAUUUAAAAGAUGGUUCUGCUAUCACUAAGAGAUGGUCCCGCGGUGCAUUAGCUAGUUGGUAAGGUAAUGGCUUACCAAGGCGAUGAUGCAUAGCCGAGUUGAGAGACUGAUCGGCCACAAUGGGACUGAGACACGGCCCAUACUCCUACGGGAGGCAGCAGUAGGGAAUCUUCCACAAUGGGCGAAAGCCUGAUGGAGCAACGCCGCGUGUGUGAUGAAGGGUUUCGGCUCGUAAAACACUGUUGUAAGAGAAGAAUGACAUUGAGAGUAACUGUUCAAUGUGUGACGGUAUCUUACCAGAAAGGAACGGCUAAAUACGUGCCAGCAGCCGCGGUAAUACGUAUGUUCCAAGCGUUAUCCGGAUUUAUUGGGCGUAAAGCGAGCGCAGACGGUUAUUUAAGUCUGAAGUGAAAGCCCUCAGCUCAACUGAGGAAUUGCCUUGGAAACUGGAUGACUUGAGUGCAGUAGAGGAAAGUGGAACUCCAUGUGUAGCGGUGAAAUGCGUAGAUAUAUGGAAGAACACCAGUGGCGAAGGCGGCUUUCUGGACUGUAACUGACGUUGAGGCUCGAAAGUGUGGGUAGCAAACAGGAUUAGAUACCCUGGUAGUCCACACCGUAAACGAUGAGUGCUAGGUGUUUGAGGGUUUCCGCCCUUAAGUGCCGCAGCUAACGCAUUAAGCACUCCGCCUGGGGAGUACGACCGCAAGGUUGAAACUCAAAGGAAUUGACGGGGACCCGCACAAGCGGUGGAGCAUGUGGUUUAAUUCGAAGCAACGCGAAGAACCUUACCAGGUCUUGACAUCCCUUGACAACUCCAGAGACGGAGUGUUCCCUUCGGGGACAAGGUGACAGGUGGUGCAUGGUUGUCGUCAGCUCGUGUCGUGAGAUGUUGGGUUAAGUCCCGCAACGAGCGCAACCCUUAUUACUAGUUGCCAGCAUUCAGUUGGGCACUCGAGUGAGACUGCCGGUGACAAACCGGAGGAAGGUGGGGAUGACGUCAAAUCAUCAUGCCCCUUAUGACCUGGGCUACACACGUGCUACAAUGGCGUAUACAACGAGUUGCCAACCCGCGAGGGUGAGCUAAUCUCUUAAAGUACGUCUCAGUUCGGAUUGUAGGCUGCAACUCGCCUACAUGAAGUCGGAAUCGCUAGUAAUCGCGGAUCAGCACGCCGCGGUGAAUACGUUCCCGGGUCUUGUACACACCGCCCGUCACACCAUGAGAGUUUGUAACACCCAAAGCCGGUGGGGUAACCUUCGGGAGCCAGCCGUCUAAGGUGGGACAGAUGAUUAGGGUG
rnacentral:rRNA from 1 species